rfam:Wolbachia endosymbiont of Drosophila melanogaster, complete genome.
UAUCUUGACAUUUAUUUAAUGUUGCUAUAUAAUAGCUAUGUACAUUUUGUGUACUAUAGCAAUAAAAUUACCUUGUAAUAGGUGUAUUGGACCCGAGGGCAGUACUCGGCGUCUCCACCAUGUUUUUUAAUUUAUGUGGGGACGAAUAAGGAUCGACAUGCAUAGUAAAGAUGGUAGCUUUGCUCGGUUAGACACCACCGCUAAGAGUUCAUAAUUUAAAUGCAAACGAUAAUUUUGCUGCUGAAGACAAUGUCGACGCAAUAGCUGCUUAAUUUAAGCACUAUAACUUCAUUGCUAUAAGCACGGUUCAGGGAACGCCGGGUAACAGAAGUUCCCCAAA